AGGAUACUCCCGUAUGGCAGGGAAAGCUUCUGUGCCGGCUACAGUAACAGAAACAGCAGAGACCUGAGUAUUUGUGAUGUUCCUGUGGAGAACGGGUUGUUCGGUGGAGAAUUGGUGAUCCUGCAAGAGGAAGGGAUGGUGCUUCUCUUUUACAGUGCUCUGAGGAGUGGGCACACCACAGGCUUCCUCUGACUUUGGAAAGGGAGAAAGACUCCUGCAAACUGAAUGAAUAGCAAUGACAUAUCUACAGCAACCAGGGGUUCAUCUAUUUUAAAUACACCCCACUCCUGCGCUUGGGUUCCUUCCAAAGCAGCCUUGAGUAUCUUACAAGUAUGUUAAGAGAUACAAAAAUAGAUGCAAACACAAGUCGUUGGAAAUGUUAUUAACAAAGGCAAUAAGGAGCCAAACAGAGCUGCUGCUCUCUAACAAUCCCUGAGGGACAGGAGGAGCCCUGCAGUCUGCACUCCAGAAGAGCAGAGUAAAUCCAGCGUGGCUCCACAAGCUGUGACUGAACGCAGAGUUUGGCUCAAGGAGUACAGCGCUCUCCCAACAGAAAGAUCAAUUCAUUUCAUUCAUGUGAAGGAGCUUGGAGUUAUGUCUGCCACUGGAAAAUCCAUUGUACCAGCUGAAAUGGGGGCUGGCAGAGCCCUGUGUCCUCACAGAGACAAAUGUACCUCUGUGCAGAGGAGUGACUUAUUUAAGUACCACUUGUGGCCCGUGUCAGAACGGAGUCUUGAGACUGUCAAGGCACUGAGACCUCAUAAAUUGCUUCUGUCUGACAAAUGUCAGACACUCACAUGAGGCUGGGUUUGUGACUCAGUGAGCUUUUCCUGGUGCAAUUGAGAGCUGCACUUAUUGCUCUUGACAUAGUACAUGGGUAUAUCCUACACACAGUCUUCCCACUAGUCAAAAACAAACAAACAAACAACAACAACAACAAAAAACCAAACAAAAAACCACCACCCACCAAAGAUUCUUUGUGUCCAGGCUGGUAGCGAUCCUGUAUUGAUUGCACUGGGAACAAUAGUAGCUUCAUAUUUAUUUAUUAUUCUUCUGUUCCAUGAGCAUCAAAGCAACAGGAAUUCUUAGUUUCCAUAAAUUUCUAUUAGCUUAAGACUUUGAAUACUGGCAUUUACAGCUGUGUCCUGCUGUGUCUUGAAAACAUGAGAUUGUACCAAGAUCACUAAGAAAUGCUUAGGAUGCCACGACAAAUCUGUUCCCCUGGCUCCUGCCUUCCUUUCCAGGCUCCAGUUAAAGCAUCCCUUCAUCCUGACAGCCUGGGCAAGAUGAAUUGCAGUAAUUUCUGGGAAACACGGGGAUCUCGUCACAGGAGUCUUCAUGUUUUAA